rnacentral:rRNA from 1 species
UACGGCGGUGGUGCGCGUUACUCGGAUUUAUUGGGUGUAAAGGGCAGGUAGGCGGCCUGACAAGUGGGGAGUGAAAUCCUGCGGCUUAAUCGCAGAACAGCUUUCCAAACUAUCGGGCUUGAGUGUGAGAGAGGAGAAUGGAACUCCUGGUGUAUGGGUGAAAUCAGUAGAGAUCAGGAGGAACACCAUUGGCGAAGGCGAUUCUCUGGAUCACAACUGACGCUGAACUGCGAAAGCUAGGGGAGAGAACAGG